ACAGACAGCCAGGAUGUUGGCUUAGAAGCAGCCAUCAUUUAAAGAAAGCGUAAUAGCUCACUGGUCGAGUCGGCCUGCGCGGAAGAUGUAACGGGGCUAAACCAUGCACCGAAGCUGCGGCAGCGACGCUUAUGCGUUGUUGGGUAGGGGAGCGUUCUGUAAGCCGUUGAAGGUGUCCUGUGAGGGGUGCUGGAGGUAUCAGAAGUGCGAAUGCUGACAUAAGUAACGAUAAAGCGGGUGAAAAGCCCGCUCGCCGGAAGACCAAGGGUUCCUGUCCAACGUUAAUCGGGGCAGGGUGAGUCGACCCCUAAGGC
rnacentral:rRNA from 1 species